rnacentral:rRNA from 1 species
CCUACGGGUGGCAGCAGUAGGGAAUAUUGCUCAAUGGGGGAAACCCUGAAGCAGCAACGCCGCGUGGAGGAUGAAGGUUUUCGGAUUGUAAACUCCUUUUGUUAGAGAAGAUAAUGACGGUCUCUAACGAAUAAGCACCGGCUAACUCCGUGCCAGCAGCCGCAGUAAUACGGAGGGUGCACGCGUUUCUCGGAAUCACUGGGUGCAAAGAGCGCGUAGGCGGGAUAGCAAGUCAGAUGUGAAAUCCUAUGGCUCAACCAUAGAACUGCAUUUGAAACUGUGAUUCUAGAGUGUGGGAGCGGAAGGGGGAAUGCUUGGUGUAGGGGUAAAAU